rnacentral:rRNA from 1 species
CACGCCCUAAACGAUGGAUACUUGGUGUUGGGGGGUUACCCUCGGUGCCGGAGCUAACGCGUUAAGUAUCCCACCUGGGAACUACGGCCGCAAGGCUAAAACUCAAAGGAAUUGACGGGGGCCCGCACAAGCAGCGAGGUAUGUGGUUUAAUUCGACGCUACGCGAAGAACCUUACCUGGGCUUGACAUGCUUGAGAAAGGACCAAGAAACUGGUCCCCUCAUGACCGCAAGGUCAUGACUCAUCCACAGGUGC